AGUGCCGCCCUCCCGGAGCCCGGGCCCUGCCGCGUGGCGCGGCUCGGCAAAUCAGCAACCGCCGCAGUGACUCUCUAGGGUGUAACCGCCCCGCCCACGAGCCUAGGCUCGACUCUAGUCGCGCGCCCCCUCCAGGGCCUGUCCACACGCCGGGUUGCGCCGGUUUAACUUCGUUUUGAAACCUGCUCGUUGAAUGGCGGCAGAAGGCCAGAGGCGUCCCCCGAAUGUUUCGCGUAGGGACCACGCUGGACCCACUCUUCACUGAUUAGACCGUGAUGAACAUGUCCUUUCAGAUCAGCUGAUUAUAUAAACAAACCACUACUCGUGGCUGGUGCUGGAUCAAGUGCAUGUUGAAAGCAGAAUAUUUCAAGUGUGGAUAGGCUACGUAUUGACCAGAUAGAUCGCUACGAAGAGGAAAUUUGAAUGUGGUGGAAGCAAGAGAUGGCGAAAACAACUGAGUGAACCAGCAACUAAGAGCUCAAAGCCAGUAACUUCAUUUCUCAAACUACUGUGACUGGAAAACACCCCUUACCCAACAAACACUGCUACAGAUAAUGAAAAUUCCACAACUGCAACAGGUGAUAUUUCAAUGCCAAUACCUGAAAAUUAGGACAGUAGUCAAGAAGGAGAUGUUCCAACAGUAACAGAUGCAGCAGAAGAUCCUGUGUACAAUCAAGAAACUCAACAGCAACAGGAAGAUGUAGAUCUUACUCAGCAAGAGCAAUUCAUGAGUACUAGUUGUUUUGAAAUUCCAAGUAACAUUCCAUGAGAUGCUGAUAAUCAUGCUUUCCCUAUUCAUCUGCUGACAAAAACUCUUUCAAAUGGUGAGACCUACACAAGAGACUGGUUAUCCUGGAGUACAGAAAAACAAUCUCUGCACUGUGCAUCCUGCUUCAUUUUGAACAAAAGUGCUGCAAAUGCAUCAGUUGUCUCUGCUCAAUCAACAGAUGUUGGAGGAAGUUGAAAGACCGACUACCAUCACAUGAGAGUUCAACGUCACACAAAGAAAACUAUGUUUGCAUGGAAAUCAGCCAGUAGGGCAGCAUCAGCUGAAAGUUCAUUUGAGAAUUUACUCUCAACUGAACUCUUUACAGAAACUAAUAACUGGAAAAAAACUUCUUGAGCGCAUCCUGAAUGUCAUCCUUUUUCUUUCUGUGUGGGGAUUGGCUUUCUUUGGUUCCAGUCAACAUAUUGGUGAUUGUGCAAAUGGAAACUUUCUAGGCAUAGUUGAGCUCCUCAGCAAAUAUGACAACCCACUUUUAUCAGAGCAUGUUAAACAUGUUAAAGAAUCGCAAGAGUGUCAAAAGUGCAAUUAAUCUGGUACUUGAAGCACACAGUGCUACACUUGAUGUUGAGAGGGAUAACAUUGAAAGUCGUAUCAAUGACACUCAACAGAUUCGUGAACAAUGGGAUGCGAUCCUAACUCAGUCCAAAUUAGUAGCACAGAAUAUUGGCAUUUCAUCUGAGUUCUCCACCAAUCCCAAUUUACCUACUGAAUCCAAUGCCGAGCAGCAUUAUAGGGUCAAUGUCUUCCUUGUCAUCACUGACUCUAUUCAAUCAGAUCUUACAUGUUGAUUUGAGUCACUGCGACUAAUUUAUACCCUUUUUGGAUUUCUUUGGCAGGUCAACAAUUUCAGCAACAGUACAACAAAUAAAUCUUAAAAGAUCUAAGUGAUGAGGUCAUCUUCCUCAAAUGAAUAUAUUCCACAAACUUUAACUUGGAUUGCAAGCCAAAGGAAUUGCUUCAAGAAAUACUCAAACUUGGACUCUCUGGAGUGUUUCCUAAUAUCACAAUUGCAUUGCGUAUUUUUGUCAGUGGCUUCAGGUGAAUGCACCUUCAACAUGUUGAAGCAGGUAAAGAACUAUCACCGUUCAACUAUGGGACAAGAGCAUUUGAAUAGGCUCACCAUGCUUAAUAUCAACUGUGACAUUUCACAAAAGCUAGAUUUUUCCUCAACAACAGCAUUUGCACAGAAAAAGGCUAGAAAAGUAUUUGUUAAAUAAAAAAAUAUUCAAAUUA